rnacentral:rRNA from 1 species
UACGUAGGAUGCAAGCGUUGUCCGGAAUUAUUGGGCGUAAAGAGCGCGCAGGCGGUAUGACAAGUCAGAUGUGAAAGAGGCCGGCUUAACCGGCAAGGGUCAUUUGAAACUGUCAGACUAGAGUGCAGCAGAGGAUAGUGGAAUUCCCCGGUGUAGUGGUGAAAUGCGUAGAUAUCGGGGAGGAACACCUGUGGCGAAAGCGGCUCACUGGACCACAACUGACGCUGAGGCGCGAAAGCUAGGGGAGCAAACAGG